GCUAGGUGUGGUAACCGGGUGCAGCGUUCAGAGUUCCAGGUUGCUGACACGGGGGAAGGCCCUUAUGUCCACGUUGCUGCACAACUGUGCACACUGUGCGGGCACUUGUGUGUCAUUUUCAGUCUUCUGAGUGUAGUCACCUGCUGGCUCGUGGGUGCUGGGUUGCCACCUGAGACACCUCCUGCUCCUUGGGAAGAGGAAAGGAAGUUUGCCUCCUUCUCAUCUUCACCUUCUGCUUCUCUGUUAGAGGUUUACAGCCAAGAUUGAGCCAAGAGCCUGGUACAUUUCAAGUACAUUUUCAUACAUGGUGUGAGGGUUUCUGAUAAGAAACAGCUAUUUAUCUUUUUGAGUCUCUUUUAUAUGAUAAGGCCUUCCACAGAAACUUCCAAGGUGCCAGUCAAACGCGUUCAGUCACUGUGACUUACUCCUCCAGGCGAGGUAGAGUAAGCUUGGCCCAUUGUGAACUACACUUCCCACUCAGGAGGUGUUAUGGUCCGCCAUUUUGGAACAUACCAUGUUUGAAGAAGUGUGGUCUCCAGCUGAGUGUGCUCAGGAACGUGCCCACCUCCCCAGGUGAUGAGGAAUCUUUCCUCUAUGAAUCAGUCUUCCCAAUAAAAGCCCUUGUUUCUUUAUUCCUUGGAGAGACUGCUUGGAGAAUUAUUCCCAGAGUACUCCUUACUUGCUGCAAGUAAUGAACCUUUCUCUACUCUUUUAUCUCCUGGCUGUGCUUAUGGGCUUCACACCCAGGGCUGAACGCACUGGGCCUGGUUACCCCUGAGAGAAUUCACAUGCAGCUCUCUUGUGACAGAUUCAUGGUCUUCUCUGUACUAACUGCUUGUGAACUUGCCUUGUGUUUAUUAGUGAGAAUUCCAGAGUGGCCAGGGUCUUGAAUCAGAUGGUACCUGGCUGCAGCAUGUCUCUUGUGUGCAUAAGACACUCUAUAAGUACACGUCCUACUGAACAGUUAUGUACGUUCAGCAUGAAAUCAAGCAGGAGUUGAAGAUUGGAAAUGUGGAGAGAAGACAUUAGUGAUUUCACUAAAAAAAAAAACAACAAAACACUGUUGUAGCCAGGAAAGAGGAAAUUGAUUAGAAGUCUGGACACAGGAGUAGGGUGUGUUCAGCUAACUAGGUGAGUGAUUAUUUGGGGAUAUGGCUCUGACCAGUGUGGCAUUCUUUUGAGAUGCAAAGAGGGGCAGCUGCAUGAUGAGGCAGGGAGAUUAAGGCCUUUGGCUCUGACCCUGCGAGUCCCCUGGGCCCCUGAUAGGCAGCAUCAAGGACCUCAGCAGAAGCCAAAAAGUGACUGUGGCACUAAACUUAAACGUUCCCUCCCAUCAGGUGGACGGUGGACAGCAUAUGCUGCUACGAACAGUGCAAGCCCUAGCUGGCCUGAGGUGGCGGGAGCAGAGACCCCACACUAGCAAAUGUUGGGCAAACAGAAGUGGAGGGUGGGCAUGGCUGGAGAGCCGCGUCUGGCCCACAGAGGGCGCGUUAUUCUAAAACGUCACCAUCCUAAUCAGAAAAGUCUGACUCGCAAAGCAGACUUGGUUCAUGUUUCCAAAGCUUUGAAUGCUGUCUCUCAGCUUCCUCCUAGGCUCUGCAUCCUGGAUGGCUUUGAGAAUCUGAUGAGAGAGAUGAAAUUCUCCCUGGAAAAGGCACACACCCACCAACUUCUGACUAGAAUUCAGGGGUUCAUCUUGGCAAACCUCUCCAAGGAUCCUUGAGGCCUCGCUGCCCCCCCAGAUGCCAGCACCUGGCCCUCUGCAGUCUGCUAAGCAAGUCCUUUGCACAUUCUCACCCAUUCGGAUGCAAUUUCUGGGCUUUGUUCCAAGUUUCUGCAGUGUUCCUUGGCCCCCGGCGAACAGCACUCACUCAGCUCUGCACAUUUCCUUAUCAAAAAAGGCAGCAAACAAAUGCUGAACCACUUAGGCAGAGCUAAGUUGCUUUUUAUUUUCUUUUCACAGGGUUUCCAGUAUGCUCAGGAAGCAGCACUGUGUCUCUGCAAAUUGUUUGGAAGCCUUGGCUAAGGGUUAUGUGGGAACCAAUCAGCACUUUGGCACAGGGACUCGCCAUCUUGAGUCCAUUUGAAUGGUGGGAGCCAAAUCCUGCGGCCCGCCAAGGUCUGGAUUAGUUUACUUACUAAUGAGGCGGCACUGACACUGUGCUUCCAAGAGCCAGAACGCUGGACAAAGCAGUUUAAUUUAAUAUCCUCCAUGAAAUCCUGAGGGAAGGGUCAGUCUCAAAGCACCCAACUUUGCACUCUCAGUUAAGUGGGUUGGCAAGGCAGAGGAGGGCCAGGUGUGGCACCAACUGUGUGUGGUCAGCCGAGCAGAGGGAAACUUGGAGACUCCAGAAGCUCCCAUUUGCUGGUGAGGAUCUCUUGACACAAGUUAAACUUCAUCCAGAAAAUACUAUUUUACCAUCUGGGGGUUCGGUGGGUCUGGGGUUGUUAGCUGAGGUGCUGCUGCUCUGUAUGGGGGCACUGCAGGAUUGGUGGCAUUGAGAAUCCCACUUCCGAGUUUAAACUGACAGCCCAAGCAGCUGUUCUUGUCUCGCUUUCUUCUUCUUUUAAGUGGCCCUGGGUUUGCUCCCCAGGAGCACACGCUCAGCAGAAGCCACUUUAGGUGGUGGAUCUGUGCUGCAGCCGGGGGAAUAAAGCCCAUUUUCCUUUUAGUCCCCCUGGGACGCUCGAUGUGGCCAUUUUCUCCUGCCUCUGUGGCCCAGUACCUCAGGCCCUUCACUAGCUCUGGGGUGUCACAGUGAAGUCAGAAGUGAGGACAGGCAGGUAACGUAGAAUAAGAAAUCUGGUCGAAUGGAGGAAUGAAGGCCGUCUGCGUCUGGGAAGUUGGAGGCCGCCCCUGGGAGAUUGGAAUGUCAGGGUCUCCAGCACCUUUUUGAUCACCAAGGUCACCUGCCUAACUACCCUUCCCAGUAAAGCUGCAGGCAGGGAGUUGCUAAUUCA